AUUGAACGCUGGCGGCAGGCUUAACACAUGCAAGUCGAACGAGUGGCGGACGGGUGAGUAAUGCUUGGGAAUCUAGCUUAUGGAGGGGGAUAACUACGGGAAACUGUAGCUAAUACCGCGUACCAUAGGAGGAGCCCAAGUGGGAUUAGGUAGUUGGUGAGGUAAAGGAUAACCAAGCCGACGAGCUCUAGCUGGUCUGAGAGGAUGACCAGCCACACUGGUGCGGGGACACGGCCCAGACGCCUACGGUAGGCAGCAUUGGGGAAUAUUGCGCAAUGGGGGCACCCUGACGCAGCCAUGCCGCGUGAAUGAAGAAGGCCUUCGGGUUUUAAAGUUCUUUCGGUAGCGAGGCGUUAACUACAGAAGAAGCACCGGCUAACUCCGUGCCAGCAGCCGCGGUAAUUC
rnacentral:rRNA from 1 species